GAAAUGCGAAAAGUAAUGCGAAUUGCAGAAUUCAGUGAAUCAUCGAAUCUUUGAACGCACCUUGCGCUCCUUGGUAUUCCUUGGAGCAUGCCUGUUUGAGUAUCAUGAAAUCUUCAAAGUAAAUCUUUUGUUAACUCAAUUGGUUUCUACUUUGGUAUUGGAGGUCUUUGCAGCUUCACACCUGCUCCUCUUUGUUCAUUAGCUGGAUCUCAGUGUUAUGCUUGGUUCCACUCGGCGUGAUAAGUUAUCUAUCGCUGAGGACACUGUAAAAGGUGGCCAAGGUAAAUGCAGAUGAACCGCUUCUAAUAGUCCAUUGACUUGGACAAUACUUUUAUGAUCUGAUCUCAAAUCAGGUAGGACUACCCGCUGAACUUAAGC
rnacentral:misc_RNA from 1 species